rnacentral:snRNA from 1 species
UUAAAAAAAGGGAAGAUGUGCUGUGAUCACGAAGGUGGUUUUGCAGGGUGGCUUACCCAUUGCACUCCAGAUGUCUGGCCCCUGCAAUCUCCCCAGUGGUGGGAAACCCGACUGCAUAAUUUGUGAUAGUGGGAAACUGCGUUCACACUGUCCCGU